rnacentral:rRNA from 1 species
AGCAGUAGCCGCGGGAAUACGUAGGUGGCAAGCGCUGUCCAGAAUUAUUGGGCGUAAAGGGCUCGCAGGCGGUUUCUUAAGUCUGAUGUGAAAGCCCCCGGCUCAACCGGGGAGGGUCAUUGGAAACUGGGAAACUUGAGUGCAGAAGAGGAGAGUGGAAUUCCACGUGUAGCGGUGAAAUGCGUAGAGAUGUGGAGGAACACCAGUGGCGAAGGCGACUCUCUGGUCUGUAAUUGACGCUGAGGAGCGAAAGCGUGGGGAGCGAACAGGAUUAGAUACCCCAGUAGUCCCUGUCUCUUAUAC